rnacentral:rRNA from 1 species
UUGAUGUGUAGGAUAGGUGGGAGGCUUUGAAGUGUGGACGCCAGUCUGCAUGGAGCCGACCUUGAAAUACCACCCUUUAAUGUUUGAUGUUCUAACGUGGACCCGUUACCCGGGUUGCGGACAGUGUCUGGUGGGUAGUUUGACUGGGGCGGUCUCCUCCUAAAGAGUAACGGAGGAGCACGAAGGUUGGCUAAUCCUGGUCGGACAUCAGGAGGUUAGUGCAAUGGCAUAAGCCAGCUUGACUGCGAGCGUGACGGCGCGAGCAGGUGCGAAAGCAGGUCAUAGUGAUCCGGUGGUUCUGAAUGGAAGGGCCAUCGCUCAACGGAUAAAAGGUACUCCGGGGAUAACAGGCUGAUACCGCCCAAGAGUUCAUAUCGACGGCGGUGUUUGGCACCUCGAUGUCGGCUCAUCACAUCCUGGGGCUGAAGUAGGUCCCAAGGGUAUGGCUGUUCGCCAUUUAAAGUGGUACGCGAGCUGGGUUUAGAACGUCGUGAGACAGUUCGGUCCCUAUCUGCCGUGGGCGCUGGAGAACUGAGGGGGGCUGCUCCUAGUACGAGAGGACCGGAGUGGACGCAUCACUGGUGUUCGGGUUGUCAUGCCAAUGGCACUGCCCGGUAGCUAAAUGCGGAAGAGAUAAGUGCUGAAAGCAUCUAAGCACGAAACUUGCCCCGAGAUGAGUUCUCCCUGAGACUUAGAGUCUCCUGAAGGAACGUUGAAGACGACGACGUUGAUAGGCCGGGUGUGUAAGCGCAGCGAUGCGUUGAGCUAACCGGUACUAAUGAACCGUGAGGCUUAACCUUACA